ACGACCUUAAUUGAAUGGGAUCUGUUCUAUAGGUUCGUACCUCUGUAUCCUUGAGUUCUAAGGAGACAGGAACUUUAGUCAUGUUGAUGAUACAUGACCGUGUGAUUAGAGCGUGAUUAACGGAUUUGGUGAGGCCUAUGUGGCUCUCACUAAGCUGUAGAGGAUCAUUCCCGAGGUUGGUUCCGACUUUGGGGUGGUCGCACGGUUGUCUGACAGACC